UUUAUAUGAAAUUACAUUAUAAUUGGUGAUAAUAUUAUAACAAUAUCAUAUUUACGUGAGAUUUAUUUACAAUGAUAUAACAUAGUAGCAACCAUAAUAUUACAUUUAAUUUAUAUGAAAUCACAUUAUAAUUGGUGAUAAUAUUAUAACAAUAUCAUAUUUACAUAAGAUUUAUUUACAAUGAUAUUACAUAGUAGCAAGCAUAAUAUUACAUUUAAUUUAUAUGAAAUCACAUUAUAAUUGGUGUUAAUAUUAUAACAAUAUUACAUUUACAUAAGAUUUAUUUACAAUGAUAUUACAUAGUAAAGCAUCCAAAUGUAUUUGUAUUAUUAUAAAUCCAUCCUAGGUUGGGCAGAACACAGGAGUAAAUACCAGGCCUCAAAUAUGAAAAUGGACUGUCCUUGGAAUUUCAAAUGAACUCUUUUAUUGAAGAGGAGCAUGCUGGUUUUAGAACAGUACCCUUUAAACCUUUAAACCUGGAGAAGUUUUUAAUUCUGAAAUGUUCCUCAUUGUUUCUUGUAGGAAUCUGCAGGAUACCAGAUGCUACCUCAUCCUGAGAUGAUCCAGUGAGAACUAGGAGAUCCACUCAAUCUCAUCAAGAGAUUUAUACCCUUCAGUUUCUGGGAUCGGACCAAUUGCUCUCAUACCAGCCCGUCUAAACUACCCAUACGAAUACAGGAGAGAACUAGAACAUCCAAGCUAUUGGAUGCUGCUAAUCUUAUAUUGGAGAAACUGCUCUUGAUAGACAGCUCUUCACACCUCCGGAGCAGCUAGGAAAUCGAUUCAGGCUUAUGGCUCUUGGAGCAGAAGCUGAUUCUUAUAUUGGAGAAGCUGCUCUUUACAGACAGCUCUCCACAUAUUUAUUAUAAAAGAAUAAGAUAAUAUUGAGACAAUGGACACUGGUCUUUACAUACAGCUCUUCACAACUCGGUUGUAGAAACAGUUCUUUUAAACCAGCUAGUCCAGCCAGCCGAAACUACCUUCUAGGAUAUCCAGGAUACAGAGAGGAACUAGAAGCUCUAAGAUACAGAAGGGAACUAGGAUAUCCAGGAUAUAGAUAUAGAGGGGAACUAGGAUAUCCAGGAUACAGGAAGGAAUUAUAAGCUCCAAGAUAUAGAGGAGAACUAGAGCAUCCUGCCAGACAUAGGACUCCAAGAGCAACAUACAAGAUGAUCUUAAGGCAGGAUACGCUGCUCCUCACACACAGCUCUUCACAUACCUAUUGUAGAAGCAGCUGCGGAAUAGAUCCUGAGUACGGAGACACCACUCAGAUUGUAAGAACUCCAGGAGCAGCUCCUAUAGUAAAGAAGCAGCUGGGGAUACAGUGGAAGCAUCUCAGCUAGUUGGAUCAUCUCAGAUAGUAGGAGCAUCUCUGAUUUUAGGAGCAACCAGAGUAUCAGAGACUCUUGGAGCUGCUCCGGUAAUGUACAGAUAGCAUAACAGAGACUCUAGGAGCAGCUCUGGUAAUAAAGGAAGCAGUUGUGGAUAUCGUGGAAACAUCUCAUAUUGUAGGAGCAGCUGUGGACAUAAUAGGAGCAUCUCAUAUUGUAGACGCAGCUGUGGAUAUAAUAGGAGCAUUUCAUAUUGUAGGAGCAGCUGUGGAUAUCAUGCACACAUCUCAUAUUGGAGGAGCAGCUGGAUUAGUGGAAACUCUAGAAGCAGCUACAGUGUCAUCCAGGAUUACAGUAUAAGAGUUACUGAACUGGAGAAGCUAAACAAUAUAUCAAGCUGAGGAAGCUGCUUAAAUACAAAAGGAGCUGUGGAUUUUUAAAUAGAAAGCUCAUUAAACUAGGAAUAAACUUGAACAAAUAUAUUUAGACCAAUAAACUGAAAAGCUGUUAAA